CUUCACGGACCCCAGCCACAGCGGCCGGUCGGCGGGGCGGUCCUGCCCGUACGUCGCCAGCAGCGCCCGCGCCUC
rnacentral:antisense_RNA from 1 species